CUGCCUCUGUGCCACAUCAUAGGGACUCCGCUGUGGUGGCGAGGAGGGAGAUGUUCACAGAUGCUGAGUCAUUUGAAAAUAGAGACAAUGCUGGGGAUGGGGUGCAAUGAGAAAUGCUCAUUUCAAGUGCUGGAGAGAAGACUCAGCGUUACAAGUCCUGCCUGUUCUUGAAGAGGACCUGGGCUUGAUUUCCAGCACCCAUAUCA
rnacentral:lncRNA from 1 species